rnacentral:lncRNA from 1 species
CACCCUUUUCUGCAAUGCAAGUUCUGAUUGCUGAAGUGUUUUCGAAAACGGAAGCGUGGUGUUCUAAGAAAUGGACAAUAACGAUCUGAAGACGUAUGAAUAUGAAAUCUGCUCUUUAGAGAAUGAAAUUAAGAAGUUAACAGAAGAGUAUGAACGCAGGCAACAUGAGGCAAUGGCUUAUUCUGAUGGGGAGAUAAUGAAGACAGUGAAAUCAUUGAAAAGAAAAUCCCCAGAAGAACCAAAGCAAUGUGACUCUUUUCCAGCCUUGAAACAUCAGCUUGAUUUAUUGGAGUCUGAUCUCUCAUUCAUAAUGAAAUUUACAGGCAUUUGUCUUACACAUUAUACUAGAAAACUUGUGGAGCAAAGU